rnacentral:misc_RNA from 1 species
GAUGAAGAACGCAGUGAAAUGCGAUAAGUAGUGUGAAUUGCAGAAUUCAGUGAAUCAUCGAAUCUUUGAACGCACAUUGCGCCCCUUGGUAUCCCGAGGGGCAUGCCUGUUCGAGCGUCAUUUCACCACUCAAGCCUGGCUUGGUGUUGGGCGACGUCCCCUUUGGGGACGCGCCUCGAAACGCUCGGCGGCGUGGCACCGGCUUUAAGCGUAGCAGAAUCUUUCGCUUUGGAAGUCGGGGCCCCGUCUGCCGGAAGAACUACUCGCAAGGUUGACCUCGGAUCAGGCAGGGAUACCCGCUGAACUUAAGCAUAUCAAUAAGCGGAGGA